GCAGGAAUAGAGUAGCGGUUAGCUUGCUCCGCUCCCAGCUUGAAGGUUCUGGGUUCAAACCCCAAUGUCUGCA